UUUUUUGAGAAAGUAUAAAUGAAUUAAAAUUCAACAUAAACGUUAAGAAAAUAAUUAUUAUGAUAAGGCAAAUACUACAUGUAAAACUUAUACGGCACCAAUUUUGAUGCACCAGAUGCGCAUUUCGACAAAUAAUGUCUCUUCAGUGAUGCUCAACCGAAAUGUUUGAAAUCCAAAAUAACUAUGAAGUUUUGGAGCUAAAUAUAGCCAAAAACAGCGUGUCAAAAAGUGGAACCCAAUUCGUCCAAGGAUAAGAGCUAUGCACGAGGGAGAUAAUCCUUAAUUUUGAAAUGAAUUUCUAAAUUUUAUAACAGCAAUUAAAUAUACAUCCGUAUUUUCAAGCUAGUAACGAAGUACUAAGCUACUGGGCUGUAGAGACCCUCGGGGACUAACAGUCCACCAGCAGAGGCCUCGACCCAGGGGUCAUAAUGUAAAACUUAUACGGUACCAAUUUUGAUGCACCAGAUGCGCAUUUCGACAAAUAAUGUCUCUUCAGUGAUGCUCAACCGAAAUGUUUGAAAUCCAAAAUAACUAUGAAGUUUUGGAGCUAAAUAUAGCCAAAAACAGCGUGCCAAAAAUGUGGAGCCAAAUUCGUCCAAGGAUAAGAGCUAUGCACGAGGGAGAUAAUCCUUAAUUUUGAAAUGAAUUUCUAAAUUUUAUAACAGCAAUUAAAUAUACAUCCGUAUUUUCAAGCUAGUAACGAAGUACUAAGCUACUGGGCUGUAGAGACCCUCGGGGACUAACAGUCCACCAGCAGAGGCCUCGACCCAGGGGUCAUAAUGUAAAACUUAUACGGUACCAAUUUUGAUGUACCAGAUGCGCAUUUCGACAAAUAAUGUCUCUUUUGUGAUGCUCAACCGAAAUGUUUGAAAUCCAAAAUAACUAUGAAGUUUUGGAGGUAAAGAUAGCCAAAAACAGCGUGCCAAAAAAGUGGAGCCAAAUUCGUCCAAGGAUAAGAGCUAUGCACGAGGGAGAUAAUCCUUAAUUUUGAAAUGAAUUUCUAAAUUUUAUAACAGCAAUUAAAUAUACAUCCGUAUUUUCAAGCUAGUAACGAAGUACUAAGCUACUGGGCUGUAGAGACCCUCGGGGACUAACAGUCCACCAGCAGAUGCCUCGACCAAGGGGUCAUAAUGUAAAACUUAUACGGUACCAAUUUUGAUGCACCAGAUGCGCAUUUCGACAAAUAAUGUCUCUUCAGUGAUGCUCAACCGAAAUGUUUGAAAUCCGAAAUAACAAUGAAGUUUUAGAGCUAUUACAGUCAAAAUCAGCGUGCCAAAAAAAAAGUGGAGUCAAAUUCGUCUAAGGAUAAGAGCUAUGCACGAGGGAGAUAAUCCUUAAUUUUGAAAUAAAUUUCUAAAUUUUAUAACAGCAAUUAAAUAUACAUCCGUAUUACAUGUGUAAGGACGAACGAGUUAUAUGGAGAACGAUGUUUAUAGGAAUCAGACUUUGGCGAACGAUAUCUAUUCCCAAACUAGUUUUAUCUAAACUCAAACUUUGUGUUUUGCCUAUGGUGUAUGUAUAAUUAUACCUGCUGGGUUAUUUCGUAUGUUAUUUGUGUUCUGCAGCAAGAAUUCAGAUAAUGUUUUAUAAAUGGAUUUUAUAUUGAUGCUGACAAUACUGGUAAGUAAAUAUUUUAAAUUUUACGACCGCUGGUGGGCCUAACCGAAUCUUACGAGACGAAGCUUAAAGUGUCCCGGAAGUCAAAUAUACAUUUUGGUUUAUCUUAUGUAUUUUUAAAAAUAAAUACCGAUAGUAAAAUUAUUUCAGUUAUUUUUUAAUCAAUAAACGAUAUAAUGGGCAAAAACAACCUUCUUCGUAAAUUCACACCUUUACGAUACCGAAAACGAGACUGAAAAUGUAAUACCGGAUCUGACGUCACAACCCAUCAUUGGCGGUUUCUUCACAACAAGACGAGAGUAUAAAAGAAGAAAAUAUUCGAAGAGAAAUGGCAAGUAAGAGUAAGGGACGCAUGUGUGUAGUUGUAGGAAGCAACAACAGGCCCUCGGACACCGUUUCCGUCCAUGUUUUCCCGAAGGACGAGCGACAGAGAGCAGCAUAGACUCGAUUUGUGAGACUGACCCGUGCAGACUGGACAGGAUCGUCCCAGUAUACUGUUGUUUGUAGUGCGCAUUUCACGGACGGAUGUUUCCAGCCUCAGUUUUCACUGAUGAGAGAAUUUGUAAUUCCUGCGAAAAAACGUCUCUGCUCUGGUACAAUUCUAUCGCUUUAUCCUAAGAGGAAAGUGGACGACCUCAACCAUGCCUUCCUCUCUUCGCCCGAGCCUAAACCCAAGCGCCAGGCUGCCAUCAAGCUGGAGAAAAAUAGGGUAGGUCGUGUGUAACUUUAUUAUGAAGAUUCCAUCGGUAAGAAAGUUGAUAAUUUUUAUUGCAGUCUGUGACGUUUAUUAACUUUUUUCACUUUAUAAGUUACAAUACACGUACUAUAUGACGAGUUUCUAACAUGCCCCCAUCUGAUCAGGACCCUGAAUUAGAUUGCCGUUUAAACUUAUUCUGUCAUAUAGAUCCACUGACCUAUCUUAGUAAUGUUAUCAAGAACUUUGCAUAAUUUAAAUAUACAUAGACUUCUAUUACUCUUUUAGUGGGCAAUAUUAUUUUUCCAACACGAUUAAAUGUUAACAUUGCAAAGAUACCAAUUCUGAUCAAUCAAGUGAAGGCUGAGGGGUGUAGAGUGGGUGGCCUGUAACCCCUGUUAUAACUCCUACAUGUACAUCCUUUGGAUUUAUACGUUAAUGAAAAUUAAAUUAAAUUAUUUCCAAAAAUGACAUGUGAUGGAAACCCCUCUUCACUAAUUUAAUUUACACAAAUCAUGGGCAGAUCCAGGAAUUUUGGAAGGGGGGGGGGUUAUACCAUUAUUAGAUUUUAGUUGUUAAAGGGGGGUUCCACCAUCUGUAUGUGUGGGUGUUUUUUAGCAACAUUUUCUGAUGAAAGGGGAGGGUUCCGACCUUCGGGAUACCCCCCCCCCCCCUCUGAAUGAUCAGGAUUCCCCCACUGCAAAUUAUUUCAAUAUUUACAUGGGGACAUUUUAUUUCAAAAUAAUAAAAGAAUUACAGUAAAUACAUUAUAAAGCACUAUCGUAACAAUUAUUUCAUCCUUUUUUAUUGGGAAAGGUUGAUGAUUGCUGCUCUACAUUUUAAUGAGAAUUCCUCAAGGCUGCAUGACAUAACGAAGGAGGGGGACGAACAAUUUAAAAUCAGCUUCCCAGAGUUCAAGUGUUCGUAGGAAGCCUGUUGAUCCAACAAUUACCCAUCAGUCCUGAUGAAGGAGACUUAUUUGGUUUUUCAAGGGUCAUCAGAACCAUUACCAUGCUCAUUGUCAGCUCAACCACCUCCACUGUGCAGUGAAUUUUUCCAUCCUGAUAAAGAAGAAGCGGUGCUACAUUUUACAUCGAGGUUCAGUCGGAAGGAGACAUCCGUGUGAAUGUGAACAAAACGCAAUACUAGCUAUUUGGACAUUCUAGCAAACCAGAUAAAAAUAUGUUGGUCAUACAGAUGUACUCUAUUUUAAUCUUGUUUAAAAACGUUAAAUCAUUGUGAAACACUUUUAUCUUUGGUUUUGUUUAAAUUUGAACCAAAGUCAUAUAGAGUAGUAGGUUGUGAAAACAAAUUUUGUUAUUUUUUACAAAUAAAAAAAGACUGGGAACAACCAUGAUAUAGGGUCUGACCGUUGGGUAACAAUCUGUUUGGUCUUGCAUGCAACAGUGUAUUUUUGCAAAUAAUUUAUAGAAUGAAAUAUUAGCAUAGUAUAUGUAGUAUUAGCUUAGUAUAUAUAAUAGUUGUAAGAGUUAAAAAAUGGGAACAUGAAAGCAGCGUCCUCGUCCCGUUCCUGGGUGCGGACACAUUUAUUUGAAAUAUUGUUUGUAUAGCUGAUGCUUUCUAGAUAAUUGAUGUAUUAUUUUUGGGCCAUUUCUGUUAGAAUGUUGUGCUUGAAUUUUUUUGUAUGCAUCAUGUAUGAAUCGUACAUUUGUUUUAAAAAAAGUUGCUUCAACUAAAUCAUACCAUCACUCAGGUGCUUUGAAUCCUUGAUAUUCCUCAGAGGCAAAGGAAUUCGUCACAGCACAUGAGGGUAGAGGGACUCGCACCUUGUGGCCUAGGUAUCCUUAGCACCAUCAAACAAAUUGUCUGUGUGUUAUGUAUCUGUUACGCCUGUAAUUCCGGGAAAUGUUUGGAAUUAUUCACUAAUGAUAAACUAGCAAUCGGACCCAAUGGUCAUGUGAAUUUUGUAUUGAUUAAAUCAAUAAAAAAUUUGACUUGCUC